rnacentral:misc_RNA from 1 species
UGAGUGGUGUUUGGUUUGUUUGGGUGGUUGGCUCUCAGCUUUUGGCUACAACUUCCACCUGGCUUACCUCUUCAGUUUUUUGUCUAGGCUUGUAUYGCCUAGGUGGAAUGUGGGUUUCCUGUGUUGCCUACCUAAGUGACGGUAUUGAUUUGAUCGAWUGGUGUCCCAUUUCGUCUGUUGCUAUACUCAUGACAUUAGAUGAACCAAAAAGCAAUCUCUUUGWGCCAUGCCAUUGCUUGUCAGUGUUGUGGAGCAUUGGGCAUUGCUUAGUCUCUUGGAUACGGAACACGUUGUGGGCAUGAGGUCUCUCGAGAUCCUUGUCCUGCCCUCAUUGAGCGUUGUUGCUCCUCUCAAAAAUGACUUCUUGAUGCGUAGUGGCUCGUACCAGCGUGUCAGGUUAAGUCAAAGAGGAAUGCUACCUGGUUGAUCCUGCCAGUAGUCA